rnacentral:lncRNA from 1 species
AGGGCUGGCAGCCUGGGGGAGGGGUGGCAGUUAGGGGUCUGGGCUAAGCAUGACAAAUCGGCUGAUGAUCUGCUCAAUUAGGGCAGAGAGCAGGUGUGCCUGUCAGGAGGGUGCGUGGGGCAGGAGGGCUGUGUGGUGGGCCAAACAACACAGAGAGGGAAAGACUUAUCGUUCAUGUAACAGUCAUUUAGAGUCGCUCGGUCUAUGAUUUUUUUUUUCAAAAGGGGUGGGCCAGCAAGGAGGGAGAAGGAAAGAAUUUUUUUUUUAGAAAAAAAUAAUAAUAAUAAAAAGCAAGGGAAGGUUGAAAUUCCCCACAGUGCUCAUUAAAAUUCUACUGCAUGCGAUUCUUCCCUGGGUCCCCCUGGACUGCCCGUGAUCAUUUUUAUUAAUUCAUAAAAUAUCGCACCAGAGAUUGAGGCUGAUGAUUAGUGGAGCCGACAGAGGGGCUGCUGUGGUUUCUAUCGGAUCUCAGCGAGUGAAAUCCACCCUCCUACUGUUUCUUGGGCAGCCAAGCUGGGCUGGGAGGGACAGACCAAGGGACCCAUGUGUCUAGCUGCUUGUCACAGGCUGUCUCCCUGGCUUUGGCAGAUACGUCCUGGCCCUGUCUCUCAGUUCUGGGGAAAGCCCUCCUUGAGGCAGGUUGUCCCUUAACCUUCCUGGGACAUGCGCUGUGUGGCAACCUGGAGAAGCAGACAGAGGUGUUCGAAUGAGCUCACCUGGCUGGGAAGGUGCCGGAACUUUGAACCAGGACUCCAGGACACGUCCAGACUCUUCUGGGAUCGCCCAUGUUGCCAUCUCUUCCUCUUCCCAGAAAUCUAGUGGGUGGCUGUGGACCAAUUCCAUCUCAAGCUACCUGUGUCACUGCUGCCAGGCGCAGUAAAACACAUCUGCAUUCUCAGCUUUCGGGAGGUGAAGGAUGUUCAGGGUCAUCCUGGGCUACAUAGGAAGUUUAAGGCUAGCCUGGGCUAGGUGAAACUUACCCUUUCAACAAAAGGUAGAAUGGAUUAUUUUAAAAUAUUCAUGAUUCUGUUUAUUUACAUGUGGGCACAGAUUUCAGUGUAAUUCCAUAAAUCAAUGAAAUACUUGAGUUUUUUUUUCCUUUAGAAAAUAGCAACACUGCGUACAAUCUGGAAAGAUAACUAUGUGCUAAACUCAGACUCUUCUCUUCUCAGCUCACGUGGACACCAGGCUUGCUCCACAUGCA